ACACACACACACACACACACACACACAAAUAAAUAUGAAGGGUUGCUGAAUAGUUCUUGGCUUUUAGGUUAUUGCGAAAGGCCUGAUUGGACACCCAACCUUUCAAGUUCUUUUACUGGGCUUAGAAAAACUGAAGGACCGCUGCAAUAAGUGUGUGAAUCUGAGAAGAGGAAUAGGUUGAGUAAAAUCAUAACUGC